rnacentral:tRNA from 1 species
GGGCAGAUGGCGUAAUUGGUAGCCGCGCCAGACUUAGGAUCUGGUUCCGCAAGGAGUGGGGGUUCGAGUCCCCCUCUGCCCA